GAUGAAGAACGUAGCAAAAUGCGAUACUUGGUGUGAAUUGCAGAAUCCCGUGAACCAUCGAGUUUUUGAACGCAAGUUGCGCCCGAAGCCUUUUGGCCGAGGGCACGUCUGCCUGGGCGUCACGCAUCGCGUCGCCCCCCACAAUUCUCCGUAAAGGGAACAUGUGUUUUGGGGGCGGAUAUUGGUCUCCCGUGCUCAUGGCGUGGUUGGCCGAAAUAGGAGUCCUUUCGAUGGACGCACGAACUAGUGGUGGUCGUAAAAACCCUCGUCUUUUGUUUCGUGCUGUUGCUCGCAAGGUAAACUCUUUAAAAACCCCAGUGUGUCGUCUCUUGACGACGCUUCGACCGCGACCCCAGGUCAGGCGGGACUACCCGCUGAGUUUAAGCAUAUCAAUAAGCGGAGGA
rnacentral:misc_RNA from 1 species